CCCUUAGACGUUCUGGGCCGCACGCGCGCUACACUGACCAGUGCAACAAGCAUCCGUCCUUGGCCGACAGGCUCGGGCAAUCUUUGAACGCUGGUCGUGAUGGGGAUAGACUUUUGCAAUUUUUGGUCUUCAACUAGGAAUUCCUAGUAAACGCAAGUCAUCAACUUGCAUUGAUUACGUCCCUGCCCUUUGUACACACCGCCCGUCGCACCUACCGAUUGAAUGGUCCGGUGAAGCCUCCGGAUUGGCGCGCACCUCGGUGCCGCCGAGAAGUUGGCUAAACCUUACCAUUUAGAGGAAGGUGAAGUCGUAACA
rnacentral:rRNA from 1 species